GAUGAACGCUAGCGGCAGGCUUAACACAUGCAAGUCGAGGGGUAUUGGUUUUCGGACCAAGAGACCGGCGCACGGGUGCGUAACGCGUAUGCAAUCUACCUUUUGCAGAGGGAUAGCCCCAGAGAAAUUUGGAUUAAUACCUCAUAGUAUAGUACUUUGGCAUCAAGGAACUAUUAAAGUCACAACGGCAAAGAUGAGCAUGCGUCCCAUUAGCUAGUUGGUAAGGUAACGGCUUACCAAGGCUACGAUGGGUAGGGGUUCUGAGAGGGAGAUCCCCCACACUGGUACUGAGACACGGACCAGACUCCUACGGGAGGCAGCAGUGAGGAAUAUUGGACAAUGGGCGCAAGCCUGAUCCAGCCAUGCCGCGUGCAGGAUGACGGUCCUAUGGAUUGUAAAACUGCUUUUUAAUACAGGAAGAAACACUCCGACGUGUCGGAGCUUGACGGUACUGUAAGAAUAAGGAUCGGCUAAACUCGUGCCAGCAGCCGACGG
rnacentral:rRNA from 1 species